rnacentral:rRNA from 1 species
CUCGUGUCGUGAGAUGUUGGGUUAAGUCCCGCAACGAGCGCAACCCUUAAGCUUAGUUGCCAUCAUUAAGUUGGGCACUCUAAGUUGACUGCCGGUGACAAACCGGAGGAAGGUGGGGAUGACGUCAAAUCAUCAUGCCCCUUAUGAUUUGGGCUACACACGUGCUACAAUGGACAAUACAAAGGGCAGCGAAACCGCGAGGUCAAGCAAAUCCCAUAAAGUUGUUCUCAGUUCGGAUUGUAGUCUGCAACUCGACUACAUGAAGCUGGAAUCGCUAGUAAUCGUAGAUCAGCAUGCUACGGUGAAUACGUUCCCGGGUCUUGUACACACCGCCCGUCACACCACGAGAGUUUGUAACACCCGAAGCCGGUGGAGUAACCUUUUAGGAGCUAGCCGUCGAAGGUGGGACAAAUGAUUGGGGUGAAGUCGUAACAAGGUAGCCGUAUCGGAAGGUGCGGCUGGAUCACCUCCUUUCUAAGGA